rnacentral:rRNA from 1 species
AAACUGCCUGAUGGAGGGGGAUAACUACUGGAAACGGUAGCUAAUACCGCAUAACGUCGCAAGACCAAAGAGGGGGACCUUCGGGCCUCUUGCCAUCAGAUGUGCCCAGAUGGGAUUAGCUAGUAGGUGGGGUAAUGGCUCACCUAGGCGACGAUCCCUAGCUGGUCUGAGAGGAUGACCAGCCACACUGGAACUGAGACACGGUCCAGACUCCUACGGGAGGCAGCAGUGGGGAAUAUUGCACAAUGGGCGCAAGCCUGAUGCAGCCAUGCCGCGUGUGUGAAGAAGGCCUUCGGGUUGUAAAGCACUUUCAGCGAGGAGGAAGGUGGUGAACUUAAUACGUUCAUCAAUUGACGUUACUCGCAGAAGAAGCACCGGCUAACUCCGUGCCAGCAGCCGCGGUAAUACGGAGGGUGCAAGCGU